GAGGGUGUGGCUCAGUUGGUCCAGGGCUUGCUUAACAUGCAUGAAGCCCUGGGUUUGAUUCCCAGCACCGCCC
rnacentral:tRNA from 1 species